rnacentral:rRNA from 1 species
GACGAACGCUGGCGGCGUGCUUAACACAUGCAAGUCGAACGGAAAGGCCCUGCUCUUGCGGGGUGCUCGAGUGGCGAACGGGUGAGUAACACGUGAGUAACCUGCCCUUGACUUUGGGAUAACUUCAGGGAACUGGGGCUAAUACCGGAGAGGAGCUCCUGCUGCAUGGGGGGGGUUGGAAAGUUUCGGCGGUUGGGGAUGGACUCGCUGCUUAUCGGCUAGUUUGUGUAGUAGUGGCGUACCAAGGCUUUGAAGGCUAGGCGGCAUGAGAGCGUGGCCGGCCACCUUGCGACUGCGAGACGCAGCAGACUCCUACGGGCGGCAGCAGGCGGAAACCUUACGCAGCGGCGGGGAGCGUGUUACGACAGCGCCCCGUGCGGAAUACCGGCUUUCGGGUUGUGAACCACUUUCGCAUGAAACAUACAGGGAUUGACGGUACUGAAUCAGAAAGCCCCGGCUAACUACGUG